rnacentral:rRNA from 1 species
AACGUAGGAGACGAACGUUAUCCGGAGUUACUGGGCGUAAAGAGCGUGUAGGCGGCCCGGUAAGUCCGCUGUAAAAGUCAAAGGCUCAACCUUUGAAUGUCAGUGGAUACUGCCGGGCUAGAGUCCGGAAGAGGCGAGUGGAACUCCUGGUGUAGCGGUGGAAUGCGCAGAUAUCAGGAAGAACACCAACGGCGAAGGCAGCUCGCUAGGACGGUACUGACGCUGAGACGCGAAAGCGUGGGGAGCGAACAGG